GACGAACGCUGGCGGCGUGCUUAACACAUGCAAGUCGAGCGGUAAGGCCCUUUCGGGGGCACACGAGCGGCGAACGGGUGAGUAACACGUGGGUGACCUGCCCUCAGCUCUGGGAUAAGCCUGGGAAACCGGGUCUAAUACCGGAUAUGACUCCAUGACGCAUGUUGUGGGGUGGAAAGCCUUGUGCGGCUGAGGAUGGGCCCGCGGCCUAUCAGCUUGUUGGUGGGGNGAUGGCCUACCAAGGCGACGACGGGUAGCCGGCCUGAGAGGGCGACCGGCCACACUGGGACUGAGACACGGCCCAGACUCCUACGGGAGGCAGCAGUGGGGAAUCUUGCGCAAUGGGCGAAAGCCUGACGCAGCGACGCCGCGUGAGGGAUGACGGCCUCGGU
rnacentral:rRNA from 1 species